rnacentral:rRNA from 1 species
CCUACGGGAGGCAGCAGUGAGGAAUAUUGGUCAAUGGGCUUACGCCUGAACCAGCCAAGUCGCGUGAGUGAAGAAGUAUUUCGGUACGUAAAGCUCUAUCAGCAGGAAAGAAAAUGACGGUACCUGACUAAGAAGCCCCGGCUAACUACGUGCCAGCAGCCGCGGUAAUACGUAGGGGGCAAGCGUUAUCCGGAUUUACUGGGUGUAAAGGGAGCGUAGACGGCAGGGCAAGUCUGGAGUGAAAUGCCGGGGCCCAACCCCGGAACUGCGCUGGAGACUGUGAAGCUGGAGUGCAGGAGAGGUAAGCGGAAUUCCUGGUGUAGCGGUGAAAUGCGUAGAUAUCAGGAGGAACACCGGCGGCGAAGGCGGCUUACUGGACUGUAACUGACGUUGAGGCUCGAAGGCGUGGGGAGCAAACAGGAUUAGAUACCCCAGUAGUC